UUCAAAGUGUCCACAUUUUAUUUGAUCACAACAUAGUGAAGACAGCAACGCAACAACUUCAAGUCUACAGUUUCAUAGUGUAGUGACUUGUGAGUGGUCUACUCUCAUUAGCUGCAGUCAAAGUACACAACACAUCAUUCAGUGAAACAUUUGUAAGCAUAUUUUGAUUUGGUCAAGAUAGCAACUGAAUCACAAUUCUAAGAGUGAUUCCUAUUUCUUUGUUUACACUGGCUGCUUCUACAAACAUGGCUACCUACACAGAUAUGGCUACCUACACAGGCAUGGUCAUUCAAGAUAUCUACAAAUCACAACCAUCAGAAAAACAACAAAUACCAGCAAUGGUAAAGCUUUGAUUACAUGCCUCUUUACACAGGCCAGAAUAUCAAGACAUCAAGUCAUCUAUACAAUCUAUUUCCAGUGCUCAGCUGUCAAAACAUCAAGUCAUCUAUACAAUCCAGUGCUCCAAACUUCAUUCUAUGUCAUACAACUUGUGACAUCCAUACAAAUAAUUUUCUACAAUGGGAUGAAAUCCAAUAACAACAUACAUUCUGACAUCUAAACAAGUUUCUGCUUAAAUUCUGACAUCUAAACAAGUUUCUGCUUAAAUUCUGACAUCUAAACAAGUUUCCCCUUACAUUCUGACAUCUAAACAAGUUUCCCCUUACAUUCUGACAUUUAAACAAGUUUCCCCUUACAUUUUUACAUCUAAACAAGUUUCC